UCUGUCAACAAUCUGAAAAGCCAGUUCCUCCCAGAGCCUCCAGAUGAGGACUCCAGUGAGCUGACAUCUCUGCUUCAGCCAUGUUAUGCCCUGAACAUGGAACACAGCAGAGCCUGCAUGAGCUUAGGACCUACAGAACUGGGAGCUAAUAUAUGAGCAUCACUUAAAAGGAAAAAUAUAUAUGUUCACCUUGCUGCCUUCAGUCCUCAGCUGAAAGUGGAUUUGCUUUGAGUACCCCAGGGCUGGCCAGCUCUCUUGGGCCAAGAGGUAACCAGAGAGGUUGAUUAGGAGUUAAGAAUCCAGACACUGGAGCCAAGUUUCCGGGGUUCAGAUCUCAGCACUGCCACUUACCGCCUCUGUCAUGUUGGGCAAGUUAACCUUCUUCUGCCUCAGUUUCCCUGAGUUUGGUUCCAGAAUGGGCCUCUGACCUACCCCAGGCUAAUGAGAAGUGGAGAGAAGUUUGCCAGACACUUCUGGGAAAGUUCUUCCUCACUCUUCCAGGAAGAUGGCCUGGAAGUGAAUCUAUUUUCCUGCUGGACAUGAAAGAGGAUGCCCGUGGCCCUGACAGCUCCUGGCAGUCAUUCUGCGAUCACGAGGAGGACCAGCCUGAGGAUGAAACCAACACUGUGGACGGAGACAUGGAAAAAGCCUGACUCCAGGUUGAGAUCACUAGGCUGCUGGAUCUCCUGCUACCCAAUCCUAGAAAUGUCCUAUGUGGGGAGCCAACGGAGCCUAUGCCAGUAAAGCACGCUGGAGUUUUAUUACCCGCUUCUUUCUAGCGAAGGGCAUUCUAAAGAGCUCAAGUGACCAGGAAAGUCUCUCUGAGGAGGUGGCAUUUGAGUUGAGCCUGAAGGAUGAAUUGGAACCACCACAGGAAGAGUGUUCCAGGCAGAGGGAACAGCACAUGCAAAAGUCCUGAGGGCAUGGAGGAAGAGACGGGGUCAAAAGGCUGUUGCUACAAACAUAUGAAGUUUGUAGCAAGUAAGUCAUACACAAAAGAAUUCGUGUUAUGUGCCGCCAUUCCAUGAAGUUCAAAAACCGGCAAAAAUCGUCACUGCUGUUGGAAUCAGGAUAAGGGUUAUCGCUGAGGAUGGGAAAGACUUGAAGGGAGCUUCUCCGGGGCAGGGAAUGUUCUGUUCCUUGAGCUGGGGACUGGUUACCCCGCUGUGCUGCCUUUGGGAAAAUGUAUCGUGCCAUCGCUCCCCUGUGCACUUUCCUUAUUUGUGCACUUUUCUGUAUGUCUGCUAUACUUCAAUAAAAAAGCUUCCUCCCAAAAGUCUCUGUGGUCUGUUGGAAGCCGGCAAUGGCCGAGGGGCUGAGGGGCACAGGUAGGGACGCUUCCUUGUCAGCCACCGCAGUUUCUGUUUCAGCUCGAGGUACAGCAAUCAACUUCCUCCUCAGAUGUGUGACUUGCUGCUGACCCUAGAACCUUUGGCCACAGGGCUCCUCUUGCCCCUAUAAUGUGGCCUGAUUCCAUUUCUUCAUCCGGGUCCAGUCUGGUGUCAGCCAGCUUGACUGUCCAUUAUUAUCAGAUG